GCUUGUCUCAAAGAUUAAGCCAUGCAUGUCUUAGUGUAAAUAACUCUUAUGAAACUGCGAAUGGCUCAUUAAAUCAGUUAUCGUUUAUUUGAUGGUCCCUUACUACAUGGAUAACCGUAGUAAUUCUAGAGCUAAUACAUGCACAAAGGCCCGACUCACGAAGGGCUGUAUUUAUUAGAUUUCAAUCAACACUUUUUGCUGACUCAUGAUAACUUAGCGGAUCGCAGAGGCCUCGCGCCGGCGACAAAUCAUUCAAGUUUCUGCCCUAUCAGCUUUCGAUGGUAGUGUAUUGGACUACCAUGGCAUUCACGGGUAACGGAGGAUUAGGGUUCGAUUCCGGAGAGGGAGCCUGAGAAAUGGCUACCACAUCCAAGGAAGGCAGCAGG
rnacentral:rRNA from 1 species